UACGUAGGGGGCAAGCGUUGUCCGGAAUUAUUGGGCGUAAAGAGCGUGUAGGCGGCCAGAUAAGUCCGCUGUGAAAUCUCGAGGCUCAACUUCGAGCUGGUCGGUGGAAACUAUCUGGCUAGAGUCCGGAAGAGGAGAAUGGAAUUCCUGGUGUAGCGGUGAAAUGCGCAGAUAUCAGGAAGAACACCCGUGGCGAAGGCGGUUCUCUGGGACGGUACUGACGCUGGAGACGCGAAAGCGUGGGGAGCGAACAGG
rnacentral:rRNA from 1 species